GCUGGGGCUCAGGGGUAGGGUGCUCACCUAGCACCUGUGAGGUCCUCGGUUUGAUCCUUAGCCCAACA
rnacentral:tRNA from 1 species